GAGUCUUUCUCUCCUUAUCCCCCGAGCAUUUCGGUCCCUCGUGAUUCGACUUCUCUUUCUGUAGCUUAGUAUAGUAAGGUGAGCGCUGAAGCGCUGCACGAAUCUUUCUUAGAAAGAUUCAGCGACGAAGUUCUGCCCCUGCAGAGCCCGACUCCUAGCUAAAACCCCCUUGUAAGUUUCGUCGAAGGAAAAUAGAAUUGUUAGAAGCAAGCGCUGCCUGAUUUUGGAAUCAUCACCUUAACAAGUAGUGGCGCAUGAGCAUAGGUGUGAUGUUUUGGACGAGGGAUUACGGAUAUAGGCCUGUAGAUAUGAAAUAAUGUAGUAAGGCUUAUAUUGUACUGUUUAUGCUUUUGAUCUGUACGAACAUGACAUCCCGAGUCUUUUAAUGAAAUACAUUUCUAUGGAAAUGCUUUGAUAAAUCUUUAUCAUAUUUUUGUUUUGGGACAAAUUCCGCAACACUUUCAUUUAAAAUGUAACUCUGAUUUUUAAACAAAGCAUAAACAAACCGGUCUUUU